GGGAGGACCACCUCCUAAGGCUAAAUACUCCAGGUGACCGAUAGCGCAUAGUACCGUGAGGGAAAGGUGAAAAGAACCCCGGGAGGGGAGUGAAAUAGAACCUGAAACCAUGUGCCCACAAGCAGUCAGAGCCUGGGUAAGACCAGGUGAUGGCGUACUUUUUGCAGAACGGGCCGGCGAGUUAUGGUAGCGAGCGAGGUUAAGGGUAGAGAUACCCGGAGCCGAAGCGAAAGCGAGUCCGAAGAGGGCGGGAAGUUCGCUGCCAUAGACCCGAAACCGUGCGACCUACCCAUGGCCAGGGUGAAGCCGGAGUAAGAUCUGGUGGAGGCCCGAACCCGUUGGCCGUGAAAAGCCAUGGGAUGAGCUGUGGGUAGAGGUGAAAUGCCAAUCGAGCACGGAGAUAGCUGGUUCUCCCCGAAAUAGCUUUAGGGCUAGCCUCAGGGUAAAGCCUGUGGAGGUAGAGCGACUGACUGGGCUAGGGGCCGAGAGGCUACCGAACCCUAUCAAACUCCGAAUGCCACAGGCAAGUACCUGGGAGUCAGACCACGAGUGAUAAGAUCCGUGGUCGAGAGGGGAACAGCCCAGACCUCCAGCUAAGGUCCCGAAGGGCAUGUUAAGUGGGAAAGGAAGUGGGACUUCGAAGACAACCGGGAUGUUGGCUUAGAAGCAGCCAUACAUUUAAAGAGUGCGUAACAGCUCACCGGUCGAGAGGUCCUGCGCCGAAAAUGAACGGGGCUCAAACAUGCCACCGAAGCUGGGGCUGCGCUAAAAGCGCGGGGUAGGGGAGCGUACUGCGCGGGCAGAAGGCUGAGCGUAAGCG
rnacentral:rRNA from 1 species